rnacentral:rRNA from 1 species
AUUGAACGCUGGCGGCAUGCCUAACACAUGCAAGUCGAACGGCAGCGCGGGGGCAACCCUGGCGGCGAGUGGCGGACGGGUGAGGAAUGCAUAGGAAUCUGCCCGGUUGUGGGGGAUAACGUAGGGACACUUACGCUAAUACCGCAUACGACCUUCGUGUGAAAGUGGGGGACCUUCGGGCCUCACGCGAUCGGAUGAGCCUAUGCCCGAUUAGCUAGUUGGCGGGGUAAGAGCCCACCAAGGCGACGAUCGGUAGCUGGUCUGAGAGGAUGAUCAGCCACACUGGGACUGAGACACGGCCCAGACUCCUACGGGAGGCAGCAGUGGGGAAUAUUGGACAAUGGGCGCAAGCCUGAUCCAGCAAUGCCGCGUGUGUGAAGAAGGCCUUCGGGUUGUAAAGCACUUUUGUUCGGGAAGAAAUCCGUGUGGUUAAUACCCGUACGGGAUGACGGUACCGAAAGAAUAAGCACCGGCUAACUUCGUG